AACGCCAAGCAACUUCUGUAUAUUAUUGGUACCCCUUCUUCUUCGUUCUUCUCAGGCAUCAGAUCUGAUCAUAGAUCGCUAUCUACUUCUACUCGCUCCUACCCUUCUUCUUGGUUCUUCUCAGGCAUCAGAUCUGAUCAUAGAUCGCUAUCUACUUCUACUUGCUUCUCUCAUCUUCCGAGCCUGAUCCAGAGUAUAUGAUGGGGAAACCAGGAGCUGGUGGAAGGCCAAAGGCAAUUGACAAGUGGGAACACGUUACCGUACUGGAAGGGAAAAGAGUAAAGUGCAAAUAUUGUGGAUUUGAAUUUGCAGCAAGUGCUAAUCGCAUCAAAUCUCAUAUUCAUCAAAUCAAGGGUCAGGGUAUUCGAUUGUGUACGGCUUUUCCUCAGCUUAACAAUAAUAGUUCCAACAAAGUCACCCGUGAUCUCCAAGAGAAAGAAGACCUGAUUCAUUCACAAGGUUUAUCAACAUUGGAUAGGCCAAGAGAUUAUAACAAACCCAAUGAAACAAUGCUUGAUUGUUACAUGUCCCCCAAAACAAUGUGGGAAGGGAUAAAGGCUCUCCAACAAACACAAAUCCAUCAAGAGAGGUUUCAAGUUGGCCCUUUCUCUGUGUCUCAUACGAUUAACGAUCCUGACUUGCAGUUGAUACAAUAUGUUUUUGAACAAUCAUGUGAGAUAAUUUUCUCUUCACCACCACGUUUAUAUUUGAAUCAAUCUGAGUUUACCACACUUAGACCGCAAACUCAUUUGGAUUCUUCGGUAAUAGAUAUUUUUGUUGAUAUUUUGACUGACGCUGAAAGGAAGAAAAGUAAACCUUUGAAUUGGUAUCUUCCGUUGACAUUUUCGAAUGUAGCACUUAAUGGUGACGAUGCAAGUUCCUUCCUUAACUUUGUUGAGCGACAUAAAAUGAGAAAGCAUUACAUGCCUGACUCGAUAUUUUGUGAGAAGAUAUUUAUUCCAGUUUACAUUGGAAAAAGUUCACUUGGACAUUUUUAUUUAUACAUCAUUAAUAUGAGGAAUCAAGAGGUUGAAAUAUGGGAUUCUCUGUGUGAUCAAUUUAUGAAUAAAACUGAACGUGAUCAAAUAACACAAAAGUUGUUGCUUGCCAUGGAGAAACUCUUCAAAGAUGUUAUCAUGUUCACAAAAUUUCCCUGCAGGGGAAUAGCAAGAAAUAUCGCACUACAGCCUAAUGGAUAUGAUUGUGGUAUAUUUGUUAUUAGAUAUAUGCAACAAUUAGAUAAUUAUGUGAGGCAAAAUCCUUCAUUUCAGUUUGAUAGUGAUGAAGAAAGAUUGGAUUUGGCUUUAGAGUUGCUCAAGAGUGACUUAAACCAAGAAAAAGAAACACUACAUGAUAAAGCAGCAGGAAGCUAUGCACAAGUUCAAAGUGAAGAAGAUAUAGAUUCAUGUGGAAUUAAAAAAAAGUGGGUUGAUACAUGGAAAACAAUAUCUGAAGAUGUUGGAAGAGGGGCACAUAUGGAAUUGGAUGAUUCUGAUAAUAGAGUCAAGAGAAACAAUGUUAGCUUGGAAACAGGGAUGCAUGGGAGACAUACAGAGCUGUGUGUUAUGAAUUGUGCUCUGACCCAUGUCGUGGCCUGUGGUUCCAGAGAAAUUUCUGGCGGCAGCGAGGAUAUGUAUGGGAGACAUGCAGAUCUGAGUGCUAUGGUUUGUGCUCUGAGCCAUAUCGUGACCGGUGGUUCCAGAGAAAUUUCUGGCGGCAGCGAGGGUUGGGGCUCUUCUUCAUUAAAUUCAUCAUUGGAUUCAACCAAUCUGUCUUGGGGUUCUUCGUCUUACGGUGGUAACUCUUCUUUGAAGAGAAGUAGGGAAGAUUAUAUUAGAGGCUCUUCCCCUGCUUAUCAUUCAAACAGUAUUGCCAGCUGAGAUAUCAGAACCUCAACGAAAAGGGUGAUCUUUUAGCUGAGCUGAAAAGGUUACUUCUCUUCCGACACAUGCCAAUGAGCAUUCAGCUCGAACUGCUAGGCUGGUGGUUGGUUUAUUUUCUGACCUGGCGUCAACAAUUGUUUUUAGACGCGCUAGAAGUGAUUUUCUGUCAUAUAUAUGAAUUUUUUGAACUGAUCAUAUCAGAACAAAUUUUUGUAUAUUGAGGCCGCCUCGAUUUGCAAUGUAACACAUGUGCACUUUGUAUAACAUAAAUUCUAUUCCCUAUUUCUAAA